rnacentral:lncRNA from 1 species
ACCCUUCUAAUCUCGUGUGGUUUCGCGCGCUCUUAACCGACAGCCGCGAAGGAGCAGUGUUACGCCGUCAGUUUGGUGCCAUCGCACGGCCGUUUUUUAAGUUUUUUUUUCUUCUCCACCGGUGCGACGCGAUUCGGUCCGGGCCUGGCUUGCUUGUGGAUCCGGCGGACGUGCCGGUUCGGGGCUUAACUUAGCGCCCCAAGCUUGCAAGCCUGGCGCACCGGGGACUGUUCGUUCAACUCAUUCUGCCUAUUUUCUUUUCUCUCUGUUUUCUCAUGUGAACGCUCGCAGCUCACAUCAUUUAGAUGUCGUUGUGGGGAGUUAGUUGGGUUGCUAUACUAGUUUAUGCUACUCACACGAAUACAAAGAAUAGACAAAUACGAUUAGAGUACUUGGUUAAUUGUUAGUACUACUCCAGCAUAUAUGGAACUGACGAAUCCGGAUGUUGCCAAUAAGCGUGUUGACGCUGCAAUUCUUACCACAAUAUUUGAGAAUUAAACCAGUAUGUUUGAACCAGGCGUCCAUG